AUGGUGGGGGCAGGCAUAUAAAAGUAAAGGGAAGCGACUGCCUUCUUAGGAAGGUGUUUAUUUUGUGUUUAUGGUGUCAGGUUGCCGCGGGCGGUAAAAACUUGAACCAGAACUUAGAUGUUUUAAACCAUUUAGUUUUUUGGCCAAAGUUUUAUUUUAUUGCCAAGCUGCACCUAUCAAGUCACACAAUUUACAGAAAUCUGGCAAAGAAAAGUAGUUCGUUCAAAUCAGCUUCCAAAUUUUGAAAGAUUAAAACAGUGUAAAGAAACAAAUUCCAGAACCCAUCUGACCAUCUCAAUAUCAAUUGGUUUGAAGUGGACAUUUUCUUAGUUUUAAAAGUACACCAAGAUUCAACGUAACAAUGAAGAUGAUCGCAGUUUUAUGUUUGAGCUGUGC
rnacentral:sRNA from 1 species